UACGUAGGGUGCGAGCGUUAAUCGGAAUUACUGGGCGUAAAGUGUGCGCAGGCGGCUUUGCAAGACAGAUGUGAAAUCCCCGGGCUCAACCUGGGAACUGCAUUUGUGACUGCAAGGCUAGAGUACGGCAGAGGGGGAUGGAAUUCCGCGUGUAGCAGUGAAAUGCGUAGAUAUGCGGAGGAACACCAAUGGCGAAGGCAAUCCCCUGGGCCUGUACUGACGCUCAUGCACGAAAGCGUGGGGAGCAAACAGG
rnacentral:rRNA from 1 species